rnacentral:misc_RNA from 1 species
CUAACAGAUAAGGUUAGUACAACAAAAUAAUGAAUUGAAAGCGUCAUUUCAUUAUUGCAUCACAGGUCACAGUUAAUGAAAAGGCCAAAGGAAGAAAAAAAAAGGGUCGGUGGUGGUGACGCUACAUUGGAUGCUGCUUCAAAUUAAUGCUCUUGAUGUUGCCAAUUCCUUCAUUCUUUUGGCUGGGUUCAUGAACUGAUUAAACAACAGCUGAAUUUACAUUAAAAGAAUAUAGAAGAAAAUGUAACUGCCUCACUUUCAGGAACUCGUAGUUUUCCUGUAUUCAAGUAUGCGCCCAACAAAUUAAUCACCUAGAGAUGCUCG